UACGGAGGAUCCGAGCGUUAUCCGGAUUUAUUGGGUUUAAAGGGUGCGCAGGCGGGAGAUUAAGUCGGCGGUGAAAUUUUGCAGCUCAACUGUAAAAGUGCCUUCGAAACUGGUUUCCUUGAGUGUAGAUGAAGUAGGCGGAAUUUGUGGUGUAGCGGUGAAAUGCUUAGACAUCACGAGGAACUCCGAUUGCGCAGGCAGCUUACUAAACUACUACUGACGCUCAGGCACGAAGGCGUGGGGAUCAAACAGGAUUAGAUACCCCUGUAGU
rnacentral:rRNA from 1 species